AGACCGAUAGCAAACAAGUACCGUGAGGGAAGAUUGAAAAGAACUUUGAAGAGAGAGUUCAAGAGUACGUGAAACUGUGUGGUGGUAAACGGAGGGGCUCUCGAAGUUUCUGAGGGGGACUCAACCUUGGUGGUGGUCGGCCAGGGCGUAUCUGAUCAGCAAUGACUCUGCGCUUUGUCCCGUCUGCCUCCCGGACGCACUUUCUCCUCAGUUUACGGCAGGAACUGUUUGAAGCGAACCUAAGGCCUGUGGUGAAGUUGUCGGUUAUGCUGGCAGCCCGCGGUGUCCUGGCUUUGCGUCAGACAGGUAUGUAAGCGGACUCGUAUAGCGAGCAAUCGACUGUUGCGGUUCGCAUCUCUCUGCCGAGUAGGUCGGUGGCCCCUCCGACCCGUCUUGAAACACGGAC
rnacentral:rRNA from 1 species